GGUUAAGCGACUAAGCGUACACGGUGGAUGCCCUGGCAGUCAGAGGCGAUGAAGGACGUGCUAAUCUGCGAUAAGCGUCGGUAAGGUGAUAUGAACCGUUAUAACCGGCGAUUUCCGAAUGGGGAAACCCAGUGUGAUUCGUCACACUAUCAUUACGUGAAUACAUAGCGUAAUGAAGCGAACCGGGGGAACUGAAACAUCUAAGUACCCCGAGGAAAAGAAAUCAACCGAGAUUCCCCCAGUAGCGGCGAGCGAACGGGGAGCAGCCCAGAGUCUGAAUCAGCUUGUGUGUUAGUGGAACGGUCUGGAAAGUCCGACGGUACAGGGUGAUAGUCCCGUACACCAAAAUGCACAGGUUGUGAACUCGAAGAGUAGGGCGGGACACGUGGUAUCCUGUCUGAAUAUGGGGGGACCAUCCUCCAAGGCUAAAUACUCCUGACUGACCGAUAGUGAACCAGUACCGUGAGGGAAAGGCGAAAAGAACCCCGGCGAGGGGAGUGAAAAAGAACCUGAAACCGUGUACGUACAAGCAGUGGGAGCCUCUUUAUGGGGUGACUGCGUACCUUUUGUAUAAUGGGUCAGCGACUUAUAUUCUGUAGCAAGGUUAACCGUAUAGGGGAGCCGAAGGGAAACCGAGUCUUAACUGGGCGUUAAGUUGCAGGGUAUAGACCCGAAACCCGGUGAUCUAGCCAUGGGCAGGUUGAAGGUUGGGUAACACUAACUGGAGGACCGAACCGACUAAUGUUGAAAAAUUAGCGGAUGACUUGUGGCUGGGGGUGAAAGGCCAAUCAAACCGGGAGAUAGCUGGUUCUCCCCGAAAGCUAUUUAGGUAGCGCCUCGUGAACUCAUCUUCGGGGGUAGAGCACUGUUUCGGCUAGGGGGUCAUCCCGACUUACCAACCCGAUGCAAACUGCGAAUACCGAAGAAUGUUAUCACGGGAGACACACGGCGGGUGCUAACGUCCGUCGUGAAGAGGGAAACAACCCAGACCGCCAGCUAAGGUCCCAAAGUCAUGGUUAAGUGGGAAACGAUGUGGGAAGGCACAGACAGCCAGGAUGUUGGCUUAGAAGCAGCCAUCAUUUAAAGAAAGCGUAAUAGCUCACUGGUCGAGUCGGCCUGCGCGGAAGAUGUAACGGGGCUAAACCAUGCACCGAAGCUGCGGCAGCGACACUAUGUGUUGUUGGGUAGGGGAGCGUUCUGUAAGCCGUUGAAGGUGUAUCGUGAGGUAUGCUGGAGGUAUCAGAAGUGCGAAUGCUGACAUAAGUAACGAUAAUGCGGGUGAAAAACCCGCACGCCGGAAGACCAAGGGUUCCUGUCCAACGUUAAUCGGGGCAGGGUGAGUCGACCCCUAAGGCGAGGCCGAAAGGCGUAGUCGAUGGGAAACAGGUUAAUAUUCCUGUACUUGGUGUUACUGCGAAGGGGGGACGGAGAAGGCUAUGUUAGCCGGGCGACGGUUGUCCCGGUUUAAGCAUGUAGGCGGAGGUUCCAGGUAAAUCCGGUACCUUUUAACGCUGAGGUGUGAUGACGAGGCACUACGGUGCUGAAGUAACAAAUGCCCUGCUUCCAGGAAAAGCCUCUAAGCAUCAGGUAACACGAAAUCGUACCCCAAACCGACACAGGUGGUCAGGUAGAGAAUACCAAGGCGCUUGAGAGAACUCGGGUGAAGGAACUAGGCAAAAUGGUGCCGUAACUUCGGGAGAAGGCACGCUGAUAUGUAGGUGAAGUGAUUUACUCAUGGAGCUGAAAUCAGUCGAAGAUACCAGCUGGCUGCAACUGUUUAUUAAAAACACAGCACUGUGCAAACACGAAAGUGGACGUAUACGGUGUGACGCCUGCCCGGUGCCGGAAGGUUAAUUGAUGGGGUUAUCCGUAAGGAGAAGCUCUUGAUCGAAGCCCCGGUAAACGGCGGCCGUAACUAUAACGGUCCUAAGGUAGCGAAAUUCCUUGUCGGGUAAGUUCCGACCUGCACGAAUGGCGUAAUGAUGGCCAGGCUGUCUCCACCCGAGACUCAGUGAAAUUGAACUCGCUGUGAAGAUGCAGUGUACCCGCGGCAAGACGGAAAGACCCCGUGAACCUUUACUAUAGCUUGACACUGAACACUGGUCCUUGAUGUGUAGGAUAGGUGGGAGGCUUUGAAGUGUGGACGCCAGUCUGCAUGGAGCCAUCCUUGAAAUACCACCCUUUAAUGGCUGGUGUUCUAACGUGGACCCGUGAUCCGGGUUGCGGACAGUGUCUGGUGGGUAGUUUGACUGGGGCGGUCUCCUCCUAAAGAGUAACGGAGGAGCACGAAGGUUAGCUAAUCCUGGUCGGACAUCAGGAGGUUAGUGCAAAGGCAUAAGCUAGCUUGACUGCGAGAGUGACGGCUCGAGCAGGUGCGAAAGCAGGUCUUAGUGAUCCGGUGGUUCUGAAUGGAAGGGCCAUCGCUCAACGGAUAAAAGGUACUCCGGGGAUAACAGGCUGAUACCGCCCAAGAGUUCAUAUCGACGGCGGUGUUUGGCACCUCGAUGUCGGCUCAUCACAUCCUGGGGCUGAAGUAGGUCCCAAGGGUAUGGCUGUUCGCCAUUUAAAGUGGUACGCGAGCUGGGUUUAGAACGUCGUGAGACAGUUCGGUCCCUAUCUGCCGUGGGCGCUGGAGAAUUGAGGGGGGCUGCUCCUAGUACGAGAGGACCGGAGUGGACGCAUCACUGGUGUUCGGGUUGUCAUGCCAAUGGCAUUGCCCGGUAGCUAAAUGCGGAAGAGAUAAGUGCUGAAAGCAUCUAAGCACGAAACUUGCCCCGAGAUGAGUUCUCCCUGAGACUAUAAGUCUCCUGAAGGAACGUUAAAGACUAUGACGUUGAUAGGUCGGGUGUGUAAGCGUAGCGAUACGUUGAGCUAACCGAUACUAAUGAACCGUGAGGCUUAACCUU
rnacentral:rRNA from 1 species